UACGGGAAAUCAGAAACUGCAUCUGCUGCAUGUAUUUGGUUGCCAUUUUAAUUGCUUUUAUGAGGAAUAAGUUGACAAGAUUGAUCACCCUGGGCAAAGAAUUAUGUUACAAAAAUGGCUGUCUUUGAUUGAGGCGUUACUCUGACAUCUCCAAUUUUGAUGAAUUGGCUGUUGGCAUUUUAUGGUGCAUUGAUGUAUAUCUGCUGCUACUGUAUUUGGUAAUUUAUAUGAUUCUUGUGGGAUCUAUGCUACCCAGUUUCUGAUGGAGAAGCAUCCCAGAUAUGUCCUUAA